UCACAGAGCUCUGCCUACCUCCUGAGUGCUGGGAUUAAAAGUUCGUGCCACCACCAUGAGACUCCUGAUUGCCCAACCUCCACUGCCCCUGCUGCUGGAAUUAUAAUGGUGGAUAACCACAUCCAGUUUUAUGUGGCAGAGGGGAUUGAACCUGAACCUCUUGCAGGCUAAAGAAGCACCGCACCGUCAAGCCACAGGCUCAGUCCCUUUUCACUGUGUUUCUGGCUUACCAGGCGAGCAGGACUUUGAAACCAGUGUUCCCCCUUCUCCUCUUCCUCCUUGUUCUUUGUUUUUAGACUGGGUCUCACUAAGAAGUUCUGGCUAUCCUGGAGGUUGCUAUUAACACCAUAUAAUGCUUCCUGAGUGCUUAAAUUAAAGGUGUAUGCCACUA